GCUUCUUUCGGACGCUCGGGGUCGCGGGAGAUGAGACAGCGACCAGGGCUGAGGGGAGCGAGGCGCCGCCAGAAGCCCGCUGGGCGCGGGAAACCCUUAGAGGCGAGCUCCGGGCCGCGCGGAACUUGAGUCUUGGCAGGAGCAGGGUUGUCAGUGAGCAGGCGGGAGUUCGAGGCCGCCCGCCGCCUUCGCGCGGAGAAUUUCGUUAGGCGCCGAAGCAGUGUUCGGAUAUCCGCGGGACUCAGGUGCCCAAGUCCGGCGGCCCAAGAGAAGAUCACAGGAGGGCCGCUUGGUGGCCUUGAACCCAGGAGCUGGCCUAGAUGGCCUCUCUCAUGAGAGUAUAACCCACUGUGCCCAAGUUAUGUCUUCUGCCUGAGUGACGAUGAUGUAGCCGUUGAAUAUUACGGAGCACACACAGUUGUCUUCAGCCAUAUAUCCCAGGAAAAUAUUAAUAGACGAGAUCACCCAGCCUUAAAGAGGAUUCUCUGGAUCACUGAGAGUUUUCCGAGGAAACCUACCAUACACUAAGUCAUAGAAAAGUUCCAAAAUGUGCAAAAAUAUUGCUUUUUGUGAGGAGUUUCAUUUUCUGAUAACAAGACUGGAGUUUGGGGGGUUUUCUGUUUGAGCGCAUAGUUUGGAAGUUGAAGGACUAUGGCGAGGAGGACAUGGCAUGCCUUAAAUAGAAUGAGGGAAACGACAGAGAACCAGAAGCCCUAGGAAAGGAGAUAAACUGCUUAUUUCAGCCCAUAAAAUGGAAAUGUGGUCAGAGCAAAUUAGUAGUAAAAGCUGAGCAUGCCGAGCUGCAGCAAUUUGCAAAAGCCUUUAAUAGACAAUAAUUUCUGUUGCGGUAGAAAAACUUUAUACAGUUACUGAUAUACCAAGUUAUGUUAGCCAGGGGGAAGAAGGUUACACACCUGGUUGAACGUGUGUACCAGGUGAGUAAAUUACAUUUACUCCGUUUCCUGUUAUAGAAACCAGAACGUGGCCUGGAAAAUCCUAAUUGUGACUUUAGUUCCAUAAAGAUAAAUCCCAGAGACUACUAGAGAACCUUGGAGACAUGCCUCUAAUCUACUCCACUUAUCCCAUUUAAAGGUUAGCAUCUGAAGAUUUAAUAACAAAAAACAGUUGAAGAAUUCAAAGCUGGAUAAUCAGAACCUCCAGGUUUGACUCUUGAAGAAGAUGCUACUGUUGGGAAGAGUGGAUGGAUUAUGCAGCCCUGUUUUCUGAGGAUUCAUUUGUUCUUGGAGUUUUUCACUGCUUGCUACCACUACCACUUGGCCUGAAAGUAUAAGCAUGUGACCAUUCCUUUCCUUCGUAUUUUACUACACAGCUGAGAAGAGACUGAAUUUGGAUCCUUUAGUGGUACAACUGGAAUAUUAUACAUAGUUUAGGGCAAGGAGGCUUAUUUAAAAGUAUUUUUCUAAUAGAAAAAAGCUGGAUAUGAAAAACGAAAUAAGGGUAAUCUUAUGUACAAAAUACAACUACUUAUGGUCAACUUUUAUUUAUUAAGAGAUGCAUCCACCCUGUGGCAGAGGCCAUUUUUUAACUGGUCUUAACCAAAGAGUAGCUCCUAGAAAACUUCACUCUUUUUUAAGUUCAGACCUGAGUACAGAGGACAAGAGAGAGUUUACCUGCUUGCCUCUAUUGGCACUACUGACAUUUUGUGCCAGAUAAUUGUUUUUUUUGUAAAUUUUUUGAAGUAUGGUUGAUUUAUAGUAUUAUGUUAGUUUUAAGAAUAUAGCAUAGUGAUUCAGUACUUUUGCAGAUUAAACUCUAUUAUAGGUUGUUACAAGAUAAUGGCUAUAAUUCACCAUGCUAUACAGUAUAUCCUUACUGUUUAUUUUAUAAACAUAGUAGUUUGUCCUUAACUUGUGCCUCCUCUUUUCCCUCUAUCUUUUGAUAACCACAGGUUUGUUUUCUAUAUCUGUGAGUCUGUUUCUGUUUUGGAUAUACAGUCAGUUGUAUUAUUUGUUGGAUUCCACAUACAGCAAACAAAUCUCCCCUUGGGCCCAGAGGAAGGCAUUAUCUCUGUCUUCUAAGGAUGUUGGCUACACAAACAUCCCUGAAAAAAUCAGGAAAAAGCUCUUAAUGCCCUUGCCCAAAAGACAUGCAGAAACACAAGAGAUCAAUGGAGAGCUGUCUUCCAACAAGUGAGUGCUUCAGAGCCUUUGUCAGCAGGCUUCCCAGGUAUCGUUAGUGGUGAAGAACCCACCUGCCAAUGCAGGAGACCUAAAAGAAAUGGGAUCGAACCCUGGGCAGGAAGAUCCCCUGGAGAAGGGAAUGGCAACCCACUCCAGCAUUCUUCCCUGGAGAAUCCCAUAGAUGGAGGAGCCUGGCGAGCUACAGUCCACGGGGUCGCAAAGAGUCGGACACGACUAAAGUGACUGAGCACACGCACACAACCUGGGUAGAUUCAGGCUGUAGUGUAAGGCAUGCAUUCAAAGGAACUAGGAUUUUCGAAGGAAGGGGAAAGGUUUGGAAUUGGGAGCAAGCAGGACCUGAAGGAUUUAAAGCAAAACAAAACAGCUACAACUUGAGAGUAUUGAAAGGAAACAAUAUUACAGGAGAUUACUAGGUUUGGGGUUAGAGUAAGAAGAUAAAGGGAAUGUUUAGAAAAGCUGUUAAGGAUAAUAGGGGAUUUGACGGAUAACAAGCACAAUGAAAGAAUCAAAACAGAUUAAGAGAAGUGGGAAGUUAGGCUAGAUUAAAACAAAGAGUUAUGGGGUGAAGGAUCUAUAUGUCAGGGCUUCCCUGGUGGCUCAGUGAUGAAGAAUCUGCCCCCCAAGGCAGGAGACGUGGGUUUGAUCCCUCUUGCGGGAAAAUCUCGCAUGCUUUGGAGCAACUAAAGCCUGUGUGCCACAACCACUGAGCCUGUUUUCUAGAGCCUGGGAGCCUCAACUACCAAAGCCUGCAGACCCCAGAGCCCGUGCUCCACAGGAGAAGCCCCCGCAGUGAGAAGCCCUCACCUGGAGAGCAGCCGCUGCUCAGCGCCACCAGAGAAAAGCCCACACAGCGGCGGAGUCCCAGCACAGCCACCAAAGGAAUAAAGUUAUGAUUUCAAAACGCUGCAUGGUGAACGUGACCUGUUGAAAGAGGCAAAUAGGCAUGAGGUAUGAUGGAAUUACUUCUAAUUUUUUUAGAAAGGAAAUUACAGCCGGUUGGAUUAUUCUUUCAAACAGCUUCUAGCCUGUAAUAAUGGUCUCUGGGGAUGGUCCCCUUAGGCAGUUAAUACUGGUGAAGCAGGUAGAUCCUGUGAUUUGGGAGGGGAAGGGAAAAAUAGACUUGCCAAGAGCACACUGAACUCUGUGAACCGCUAAAAUCCACUUGGGGUUGCGGCUGGAAAGACUUCUGGAGCCAUUAUUUAAAUCUUUGAACACUGACAGUGCGGAACACGGUCACUGAAAACCCUGGAAGCCUCCUUUAUAGACUGAAUCUUUGGUGUCAUUGUCACUGGACAGACAAUCUUCCAGGACCAUGGAGACCCUGCUGCGGGGUGGGGUGGCGGGGGGCAUAUGAUGAUAUAAAUAUCUACUGGGAAAACCCAAGAGAAACAACAUCAUUUUAGGUCUCUCCUCAAACUUCAGCUGAUCAGAGGGGGCUUAUUUAAACACAUUAUCCAAAACCGUGUUUUUUGUGGUCAGUUUCCCUCCUCUUACUAUGCUUUCCCACCUUCUUAGCACUUAGCACCUCCUGUCAUAUUUCUUUGGUAUUUUCUCUCAGUAGAAUGUAAAGAUCUUGAGAACAGAUUUUUUUUUAACUGCUUAUUUCCAAGACUCAGAAUAUUGCGUUGCAUACUGUAGGCACUCAGUGAGUAUUUACAAAAUGAGUGAAAGGAUAGAUAAGAGUAUUAGACCCGUUAAAUGAGUUCAGUAACAUGGCGAACUACAGAAUCAAUAAUCCUGAAAUUAAUAGUGUUUCUACAUACCAACAAAAGCCAUUAGAAAAAUAUUUUUAUAGAUAGUAUUUAUUCACAGCAGCAACAACAAAAAUAUCCUGAAGCAAAUUAAAUGAAAACUAAACAACACUGAAAUUUUUCUGACAGAACUGAGUGACUAGAGAAGUAUACCAUACUGCCGGAUGGAGAGACAAAAUAUUGGAUGAUGCAGACUCCACCCCCCCAAAUUAACCUGUAAAUUUAACACAGUAUCAAUCAAAAUCCCAGUGAAAUUUUUAGGGGAGACAGAGGGGCAGAAUUUGAUUAAAAGAUUUAAAAUUUCAUCAAGAAGAAUAAAGGCUUUAGAUAGUCAAUUAAAUUCUGAAGGAAGGCACUAAUAAGUGACCUUGCUCUAUCAGAUGCAAAAACAAAAAAUAGAGAAAAAAGGGGGUGCACAACCCAGGCAUUUCGCUUCUGGAAAUUUUUCCAAUCAGUGUUUGCUAAGUAGAGGAAAAUUCAAACAAAUCAUGGUUUAAACAAAUACCUGUGGAAUACCAUGGA